GUGCUUAACACAUGCAAGUCGAACGGAAAGGCCCUUCGGGGUACUCGAGUGGCGAACGGGUGAGUAACACGUGGGUGAUCUGCCCUGCACUUUGGGAUAAGCCUGGGAAACUGGGUCUAAUACCGAAUAUGAUCAUGGCCUUCAUGGGUUGUGGUGGAAAGCUUUUGCGGUGUGGGAUGGGCCCGCGGCCUAUCAGCUUGUUGGUGGGGUAAUGGCCUACCAAGGCGACGACGGGUAGCCGGCCUGAGAGGGUGACCGGCCACACUGGGACUGAGAUACGGCCCAGACUCCUACGGGAGGCAGCAGUGGGGAAUAUUGCACAAUGGGCGCAAGCCUGAUGCAGCGACGCCGCGUGGGGGAUGACGGCCUUCGGGUUGUAAACCUCUUUCAGUCACGACGAAGCGCAAGUGACGGUAGUGACAGAAGAAGCACCGGCCAACUACGUGCCAGCAGCCGCGGUAAUACGUAGGGUGCGAGCGUUGUCCGGAAUUACUGGGCGUAAAGAGCUCGUAGGUGGUUUGUCGCGUUGUUCGUGAAAUC
rnacentral:rRNA from 1 species